GUCAACGGUUCGAAUCCGUUAUUCUCCACGCACCCUCCGUUUCCUGAAAGGGAUAGGAUAUAGAGUAAAUGAUGCAGAAAUGCAUAUGGGGUAAAGUUCUUUGACAUAUUGGAAGAAGUAAAUAAAAAGAGAAGACAACAGUAUAGAGGACUGUUACGGCUUCAAAGGUUUACGAAAUCAGGAUUAAAGCGGUAGGAAUACUGAUGAAUGAAUGAUAGAAUGAACUGAUGAACAUAACAAGAAUCAAAAAGCAUACCAUGCCGAGCAAAAGGCGGCAUGCGUAGAAGAAAGUAAGAAAGGGUACACGGGGGAUGCCUUGGCUCUCAGAGGCGAUGAAGGACGUGAUAAGCUGCGAUAAGCUACGGGGAUUAGCAAAUAUAAAUUGAUCCGUAGAUUUCCGAAUGGGGAAACCUAACUAUUUGAAGAAUAGUUGCAUAAAUGCGCAAACCUGCUGAACUGAAACAUCUAAGUAAGCAGAGGAAGAGAAAACAACAGUGAUUUCCUGAGUAGUGGCGAGCGAAAGGGAAGAAGCCCAAACCGUUUAUGUUACGGCAUAAGCGGGGUUAUAGGACCACAACAUGAACAUUAAACAGAAGCGGAACGGUAUGGGAAAGCCGGCCAUAGAGCAUGAUAGCUGCGUACGCGUAAUGGAUAAUGGGAUAGUGGUAUCCUGAGUACCGCGAGGUCGGAGACGCCUUGUGGGAAUUUGCCGGCACCAUCCGGUAAGGCUAAAUACUCCUGAGAGACCGAUAGUGAACCAGUACCGUGAGGGAAAGGUGAAAAGAACCCCGAACAGGGGAGUGAAAUAGAACCUGAAACCGUGUACUUACAAGCGGUCGGAGCGGUUAACACCGUGACGGCGUGCCUUUUGCAUAAUGAGCCUACGAGUUACUCUUCCCUGGCAAGGUUAAGUGUUUAAGACACGGAUCCGAAGCGAAAGCGAGUCUGAAUAGGGCGUAUAGUCAGGGGAGGUAGACGCGAAACCUUGUGAUCUACCCAUGGACAGGUUGAAGGUGCCGUAACAGGUACUGGAGGACCGAACCGAUAAACGUUGAAAAGUUUCCGGAUGAUCUGUGGGUAGGGGUGAAAGGCUAAUCAAACUGGGAAAUAGCUCGUACUCCCCGAAAUGUUUUUAGGAACAGCCUGGCGGUUGAGUUAAAAAGAGGUAGAGCUACUAAUUGGGUGCGGGGGAGUCAAAUCCUACCAAAUCCAGAUAAACUCCGAAUGCUUUUUAAUAUACGCUGGAGUGAGGCUCUGGGUGCUAAGGUCCAGGGCCGAGAGGGAAAGAACCCAGACCAUCAGCUAAGGUCCCCAAAUUACCGCUAAGUUGAACUAACGAGGUCCGAUUGCACAGACAGCUAGGAUGUUGGCUUGGAAGCAGCCAUUCAUUUAAAGAGUGCGUAACAGCUCACUAGUCGAGCGAUCGGGCAUGGAUAAUAAACGGGCAUCAAGUGGUAUACCGAAGCUAUGGAUUUGCAGCAAUGCAACUGGUAGGGGAGCAUUCUACUGUCGGCGAAGCAGAUACGUAAGUUACUGUGGAGAUUGUAGAAAAGCAAAUGUAGGCAUAAGUAACGAUAAGGCGGGAGAGAAACCUGCCCACCGAAAGACUAAGGUUUCCUGAUCAACGCUAAUCGGAUCAGGGUUAGUCGGGGCCUAAGGUGAAGCCGAAGGGCGUAGCCGAUGGACAACUGGUUAAUAUUCCAGUACUAUUUAUAACUGCGAUGCGGUGACGGAGUAGUGAAACUGACGCGAACUGACGGAAUAGUUCGUUAAAUGCCGUAGGUAUAGGGACUGUAGUAAAGUACGCAGACCCUGCUGAAAGCAGAUAGUACGCAGAACCUUCGGGGGAUGUGAUAGUUCAGGUAAUCAGACUUCCAAGAAAACCCGCUAAGCUUCAGGUUAUGAAUACCCGUACCGUAAACCGACACAGGUAGUCGAGGAGAGAAUCCUAAGGUGCUCGAGUGAAUCAUGGCUAAGGAACUCGGCAAAAUGGCCCUGUAACUUCGGGAGAAGGGGCGCUUCAGCAAUGAAGCCGCAGUGAAAAGGCCCAGGCGACUGUUUAACAAAAACACAUGGCUAUGCAAAAUCGAAAGAUGACGUAUAUGGCCUGACACCUGCCCGGUGCUGGAAGGUUAAGAGGGGAUGUUAGGAGCAAUUCGAAGCAUUGAAUCGAAGCCCCAGUAAACGGCGGCCGUAACUAUAACGGUCCUAAGGUAGCGAAAUUCCUUGUCGGGUAAGUUCCGACCUGCACGAAUGGUGUAACGAUCUGGGCGCUGUCUCAGCCAUGAGCUCGGUGAAAUUGUGGUAUCGGUGAAGACGCCGGUUACCCGCAACGGGACGGAAAGACCCCAUGCACCUUCACUACAACUUAACAUUGAAAUCGGCUACAGGAUGUGUAGGAUAGGUGGGAGACUGUGAUCUGGCUUCGCUAGGAGUCAGUUAGUCAACGUUGAAAUACCACCCUUUCUGUAUCUGGUGUCUAACUCGUCACAGACGAGGACAUUGUUUGGCGGGUAGUUUGACUGGGGUGGUCGCCUCCAAAAAGGUAACGGAGGCUUUCAAAGGUAAGCUCAGUACGCUUGGUAACCGUACGCGGAGUGCAAUAGCAUAAGCUUGCUUGACUGUGAGGCAGACAAGCCGAGCAGGGUCGAAAGACGGAUAUAGUGAUCCGGUGGUUCUGCAUGGAAGGGCCAUCGCUCAAAGGAUAAAAGGUACGCUGGGGAUAACAGGCUGAUCUCCCCCAAGAGCUCAUAUCGACGGGGAGGUUUGGCACCUCGAUGUCGGCUCGUCACAUCCUGGGGCUGGAGAAGGUCCCAAGGGUUGAGCUGUUCGCUCAUUAAAGUGGCACGCGAGCUGGGUUCAGAACGUCGCGAGACAGUUCGGUCCCUAUCUGUUGUGGGCGCAGGAAGUUUGAGUGGGGCUGACCUUAGUACGAGAGGACCGGGUUGGACGAACCACUGGUGAAUCUGUUAUGGCGCCAGCUGUAUUGCAGAGUAGCUACGUUCGGAAUAGAUAAGCGCUGAAAGCAUCUAAGUGCGAAACUAGCCACGAGAUGAGACUUCCAUUGAGGGUCGUAGCAGACUACUACGUUGAUAGGUUACAGGUAUAAAGGUGGUGACAUCAUAGCCGAGUAAUACUAAUCGCCCGAAGCUUUCUUC
rnacentral:rRNA from 1 species